GAUGAACGCUGACAGAAUGCUUAACACAUGCAAGUCAACUUGAAUUUGGGUUUUUUAACUUAGAUUUGGGUGGCGGACGGGUGAGUAACGCGUAAAGAACUUGCCUCACAGCUAGGGACAACAUUUGGAAACGAAUGCUAAUACCUGAUAUUAUGAUUAUAAGGCAUCUUAGAAUUAUGAAAGCUAUAUGCGCUGUGAGAGAGCUUUGCGUCCCAUUAGCUAGUUGGAGAGGUAACGGCUCACCAAGGCGAUGAUGGGUAGCCGGCCUGAGAGGGUGAACGGCCACAAGGGGACUGAGACACGGCCCUUACUCCUACGGGAGGCAGCAGUGGGGAAUAUUGGACAAUGGACCAAGAGUCUGAUCCAGCAAUUCUGUGUGCACGAUGACGUUUUUCGGAAUGUAAAGUGCUUUCAGUUGGGAAGAAAAAAGUGACGGUACCAACAGAAGAAGUGACGGCUAAAUACGUG
rnacentral:rRNA from 1 species